AUGUUGGCCCUGCAAACGAGAUCCGGCCAGAAUUCUCAGGUCUCGGCUACUGAGAGCAGGGGAGAACUCCAGCCCCCUUUGGGGUCCCCGACUCUGCUCUGCCGCACCUCCGGCUUUGACUUCAGAAGUUAUGGAAUGUUCUGGAUCCGCCAGAGCCGCGGAAAGGCGCUGGAAUCUGUGGCGUACGUCCAGUACGAUGGUCAGUACACCCGGCAUGAGGCGUCGGUGCGGGGCCGGUUCACGAUCUCCAGGGACAACGGGCAGAGCUCGGUGACGCUGACCAUGAACAACCUCAAGGACGAGGAUUCCGGCGCCUAUUUCUGUGCCAAACAUGCUGGUGCUGGACUGCCCUCCAUCGACCCAAACCCCCAUCUGGGCCUGCCCCAAACUCAACUCUUGCCUUUCAAUCCCAACCUUGAACCACGAGAGUGCCCAAAGGGCUGA